UACGAAGGGGGCUAGCGUUGUUCGGAAUCACUGGCGUAAAGCGCGCGUAGGCGGCUUUGCAAGUCGAGUGUGAAAUCCCCAGGCUUAACCUGGGAACUGCAGUUCGAGACUGCAUAGCUAGAGUAUGGGAGAGGGAAGUGGAAUUUCAGGUGUAGCGGUGAAAUGCGUAGAUAUCUGAAGGAACAUCAGUGGCGAAAGCGACUCCUGGACCAAUACUGACGCUCAUGUGCGAAGCGUGGGAG
rnacentral:rRNA from 1 species